rnacentral:rRNA from 1 species
GGGUCAGCAAGUUGGUCGUGCCACCGGUAUGCACUGGCUUUGCUGAUUCCUCCUUCUUGUAGAACCGUAAUGCCAUUAAGUUGGUGUUGCGGGAAAACAGGACUGUUACUUUGAAAAAAUUAGAGUGUUUAAAGCAGGCUAACGCUUGAAUACAUUAGCAUGGAAUAAUGAAAUAGGACGACGAUCCUAUUUUGUUGGUUUCUAGGAUUGACGUAAUGAUUAAUAGGGAUGGUUGGGGGCAUUAGUAUUCAAUUGUCAGAGGUGAAAUUCUUGGAUUUAUUGAAGACUAACUACUGCGAAAGCAUUUGCCAAGGAUGUUUUCAUUAAUCAAGAACGAAAGUUAGGGGAUCGAAGACGAUCAGAUACCGUCGUAGUCUUAACCAUAAACUAUGCCGACUAGGGAUCGGAUGAUGUUAAUUUUUUAAUGACUCAUUCGGCGCCUUACGGGAAACCAAAGUGUUUGGGUUCCGGGGGGAGUAUGGUCGCAAGGCUGAAACUUAAAGGAAUUGACGGAAGGGCACCACCAGGGGUGGAGCCUGCGGCUUAAUUUGACUCAACACGGGGAAACUCACCAGGUCCAGACAUAGUAAGGAUUGACAGAUUGAGAGC